GACGAACGCUGGCGGCGUGCCUAACACAUGCAAGUCGAACGAAGCAUUUGGAGCUGAUCUCUUCGGAGUGACGCACCUUAUGACUUAGUGGCGGACGGGUGAGUAACACGUGAGCAACCUGCCUUUCAGAGUGGAAUAACAGUUGGAAACGGCUGCUAAUACCGCAUAACGUCAUAGUACCGCAUGAUACCUUGACCAAAGAUUUAUCGCUGAGAGAUGGGCUCGCGUCCGAUUAGGUAGAUGGUGGGGUAACGGCCUACCAUGCCGACGAUCGGUAGCCGGACUGAGAGGUUGAUCGGCCACAUUGGGACUGAGACACGGCCCAGACUCCUACGGGAGGCAGCAGUGGGGAUAUUGGGCAAUGGGGGCAACCCUGACCCAGCGACGCCGCGUGAGGGAAGAAGGCCUUCGGUCGUAACCGCUUUGUACGUGAAGAAGACAGAUGACGGUAGCGUACGAAUAAGUCCCGGCUAACUACGUGCCAGCAGCCGC
rnacentral:rRNA from 1 species